AUGGAUAGAACUUUAUUAAUCUCUCGGGUGAGAUUAUGGAAUUUUUGACUUCAGGAAAUUCUGUAGUCACUACAGUCAGCCGUGGUUGGAGGAGGACGGAGAGGAAUCCCAAAUCUGUCUUGGUAAGAAUCGACCAUCGUUUUGUUACAACCAUCAGUUAGAGGAGAAACAAAAGCCAACACACACGCACACACACACACACACCAUAAAGUACCAGUGAGAUACAACCUUGUCAAAAAUCUAUUAAAGAUUGUAUCAUCUAAUUCUGCAGCUGACGUGGGCUGGAGCUGGCAGAGCUGUGAUGUAACCCACUCUCUGAGGGACUGAUAACAGUCUGUAUGUGUCUGUGUGUGUGUGUGUCUGUGUGUGUGUGUGUGUGUGUGCUCAGUGUUAUUGAACCAAUCACACACUGACUUAUUUGACACCUCUCAUCUCUCGGAGCUCAGGUUCUGGAUGAUUUGAUAACGUGUCGACGCUGCGGCGUUGAGCAACAUCUAGCAGGUUAGUUAAGAUGCUAGUGGGAUGAAGCUAGGUGCUAAGUGUCUUUAAUAAGUGUUCAUUAGUGCCACCCAGUGGAGAGUCAUUAAGCAGUCUGAACGUCUGUCUUAAAAUCCUGGUGAAAAAAUUCUGACCCAGUUCACAGGAUUGGAUGGAUGUGAAACACCACCGGGGGGAGCCACUGAGCAAGAUUGAGACGUUUGGAUCUGGGAGGAAAUUCCAUCAAUCGUUUGAAUGUUUCAUCCUGACUGAAGUCUUCAGCUGCUGGAGAUGGACUGUUGUUGUCAACCGUCGGCUGAGGAGCAACAGCCAGUGUACUGUCAUGGACUUCAAUCAAAGGACCGCCUGAGGAGCCUUCACACACACACACACAC